GUGCUCACUUCAGCAGAACGUAUACUAAAGUCGGAAUGACACAGAGAAGAUCGGUAUGGCCUCUGUGAAGGAUGACACACAAAUUCAUGAGGUGUCCCAUAUUUUC